CUUCCUAUGUCUUCGAACUCAAGUUUCCACUGGCUGAUUGUUUUCCUUUAGAUUUUAAGGGUCCACGAUAUGUUUCUAGGCUCCUAUGAUUUUUCGGCCCUGAUAUAUAAUAUGCCUUUGCUUGUUUUCACUAUACUUGUAUCUACAGUUGGCCGAAGUUGGGUUUGGUUGCUUCGAGCGAGGGUCGUCUGUUUCAGCUUUUUGAGAUCCAGGGUUGUGUAACAGAGAACGGUACUAAUUCAGACAGUAACGUUGGCAGAAGGUUUCUUGGCUUAGCCGCAGCGGCAGCCUGUGCUAUGUACUCGUUGAGUCUCUGACUAUCACUUUCUCGUUAGGUGGUCAAAAUCUUUCUUUCCCCGAAAUUGUUGAGCUAUGUUCUCUUUUUUUAUGUCUUGUCAAAGUGACCACAGUACAGUGAACUCUUGUGGAAGCUUGGGUGCUUUCUACUUUAUGAUGUUGGAGAGCGUUAGUAGGGAAUUUAUGCCAAGUGUUUUUUACUUGAGGUUACUUCUCCUUGACUUCUCUAAGUGGGAGAAGCAUUCUGGGAGGUUUUGUGAUAUCUGAUUCUUUUCUCCUCUGCAACUUCAUUCUGUUUCUACAAGGGAACCAAGGAAACGUGGCACUGAUUUAGAGAUGAAGUUACAUUGUAAGUCUGUGUGGUUCCCAAGUUCAUGCAUGAAGACAGUAGGAGAGAUGGAUAUCGAGACUGAAGGUCUGUUUUGAUACUAUUUGAGACGUAUCCAAUAAAGCAGGCUUUUGGAGGGACUUCAAUCAGGUUUUUAAGUAGGAAAUAAACUUUGUGUUCUUCACUGAUCAGUUCAAAUAAACUUCCUUGUUUCUGAUUCUACUAGGCUACUUUUUCGUGGAGGACAUGUCAUUGACUUUUUGGUGCUCCACCGAAUAUUAAUAAUUUUUGCAUUCGAAUGAGAUGAGGUGGCACUGAAGGUUCUAUUAAUUGCUUCAGGACAUGAGGGUCUUCUGUUUGGUGUUACUUUUCUUUUUAGAUGUUCUUGUACUUCAGCUCUUGAUUCUGUAGAGCGAGAUCUAGUUCACGACUGAACAUUGAGUUUUAUGACCGUACUACUAACUGAAUGCAUCAAUCUGAGUUUGCUGUCUAUCUUUCCUGUUGUAACGUGUUUCGAGUCAAGUUAUGUUAUGUUCUGCAGCAGUAAGAGACUUUUCUUAGAGUCUGUCGUUUACAAGAUUCUACCAAAUUGUGAGGCUUAUUCUUGGGGUUAUUGAAGGUUCAGACGUUCAUAUGUUUUCUAUUGGUGAACCCAUGUCAGAAGGUUUGCUGAAUUAUGUUUAUUGAGAAGUUUUCUGUUGACACCGCCAGAAGAUGGUGGAUGAUCCAGGAAACAGACGUUUCUGGUCUCUGAUGGUUGCCUGUUCAGUGGAUAGUUCUCAGCCUUUCUCCUUUUGGCGAUUUCACAUUUCAGGGGUUUCCAAUCUCCAUCGUUUUUUAAUUCUUAAAUUAGUCGAUGUUGAAUAUCCUGAUAAACUUUAUUGGUUGCAUUGUAGGCGAGUCAAGAGGUUUCACUCUUGAUAAGACUCGAGCAUAAGAAUCUGGUUAAGCUUCUUGGUUUCUGUAAUGAAGGAGAUGAAGUGAUUCUUGUCUCUGAGUUUGUCCCCGACCGCUUUAUCUUCGAUAACUUGACAAGCUAGUGAAAUCAAUGUCACAGAAAGUGAAAAAACACCGGUCAUCGAAACUGUGAUCUUACAAAGUUACACAAUACAAUGGGAUAGUCUCUUUGCUGUAAUCAUCUUCAGCUGCAUCUAACAUCAGCUACAAGAUGGCGAAUCCGAGGAGCAUACCAUUUCACUUUCUCUAUAUGUUCUACUGUAACUUCCCACCUACGACCUAAACCAUGACAAAACCCAAAAUAUAAGCCUGAGUGUUAUUCUGUGAUUAACCAAAAUCAAGAAAACCCCACUACAUCAGAGUCUUGAUUUAGUAACCAAAAU